CGUGUGCUCCUUCCGAUCUGACAGAUCCACUCCCAUGGACGGACAGACUGAAGAUGAACCAGGACUGAUGGACGUCCAUGUGAUGAUGUAGGUCCAGUCUGUAAAGGUGCAGUAGGGUGGGGGCACAUGAGAAGGACCAUCUAGUCAGAUGAGACAGGUGAGGGUGAGGAGGUCCAUCCAGCUAGGUGAGGGUGGGGUAGGAGGUCCAUCCAGCUAGGUGAGGGUGGGGUAGGAGGUCCAUCCAGCUAGGUGAGGGUGGGGUAGGAGGUCACAGGUCAGGACAGAGCACAGACGAGUCACCUCAGAUCCCGUCGUCAUUGGGCCCCAGGCAGCUACACCUAAAACAGUAGCCCCUCCCCCAGAGGGGAGUGGGGAAAAGGGACACCGGGUGAAAAGUGAUGAACAGAUUC